CUAUAAUUACUAGAGGGAAUUCUGGUGCUGCGAUCAUUCAGUCACCAUGGGAAUGAUGGGUAGUACAUGGAUUUGUCUGAUCUUCGUGCUUGUGGCUUCAGAGAUCAUUGUGGCU
rnacentral:lncRNA from 1 species